rnacentral:lncRNA from 1 species
CAUCAAUCACUACUCAAAACAAAAACAAAAAAAAAUUCCUAGAAAGUCGGAAACUUUAUCCUUGAAUGAGAAAAACCCAGAUGGGAAAAUCAAAGAUUGAUGUUGUUGUUAUUGUUGUUGUUCAUCAUCAUCUUCUUAAUUUUUGUGCAUGGUGUGAAAAUGACAGUGCAGUUAGGGGUUAGGAAAGAGAGGUGAAAUGACAGACAACCUCAACAAACAUGAAUGAAUGAAUAAACAAACAAACAUAAGUAAGUAAACAUACAAAAACAAAAAGGUCUAGAUCUGAUUCUGUGCAAAUAGGAAUGGAAAAUUAGUUAUUUGUUUAGUUAAUCACACUACAGAUAUGAAGAUUAGCUUAAUUAUUUUUUUAGGAAAACGACAUGUACCGAUGUUAAUUGUUAAUUGUUAACCAAGCUAAAAUAAUCCUUUUUUUUUUUCCAAUGUUCAUUUUUU